rnacentral:rRNA from 1 species
GACGAACGCUGGCGGCGUGCCUAAUACAUGCAAGUCGAACGGUCUUUUCUAUGGAAGCUUGCUUCCACUGAGAAGAUAGUGGCGAACGGGUGAGUAACACGUGGGUAACCUGCCCAUUAGAGGGGGAUAACAUCCGGAAACGGGUGCUAAUACCGCAUAGGUUUCUGGAUCGAAUGAUCGAGAAAGGAAAGACGGCCAUGGUGCUGUCGCUUAGGGAUGGACUCGCGGCGUAUUAGUUAGUUGGUGAGGUAACGGCUCACCAAGACGAUGAUACGUAGCCGACCUGAGAGGGUGAUCGGCCACAUUGGGACUGAGACACGGCCCAAACUCCUACGGGAGGCAGCAGUAGGGAAUCUUCCGCAAUGGACGAAAGUCUGACGGAGCAACGCCGCGUGAGUGAAGAAGGUUUUCGGAUCGUAAAACUCUGUUGUCAGAGAAGAACAAGUCGGAGAGUAACUGCUCCGGCCUUGACGGUAUCUGACCAGAAAGCCACGGCUAACUACGUGCCAGCCGCCGCAGUAAUAC